rnacentral:rRNA from 1 species
GACGAACGCUGGCGGCGUGCUUAACACAUGCAAGUCGAACGAUGAACUUGGAGCUUGCUCUGGGGGAUUAGUGGCGAACGGGUGAGUAACACGUGAGUAACCUGCCCUGGACUCUGGGAUAACUUCGAGAAAUCGGAGCUAAUACCGGAUAGGACCCUGCACCGCAUGGUGUGGGGUGGAAAGUUUUUCGGUUUGGGAUGGACUCGCGGCCUAUCAGCUUGUUGGUGAGGUAAUGGCUCACCAAGGCGUCGACGGGUAGCCGGCCUGAGAGGGUGGCCGGCCACACUGGGACUGAGACACGGCGCAGACUCCUACGGGAGGCAGCAGUGGGGAAUAUUGCACAAUGGGCGCAAGCCUGAUGCAGCAACGCCGCGUGCGGGAUGACGGCCUUCGGGUUGUAAACCGCUUUUAGUAGGGAAGAAGCGAAAGUGACGGUACCUGCAGAAGAAGCACCGGCUAACUACGUGCCAGCCGCCGCAGUAAGAC